AAAAAGACAAACCCUGAUUUUCUAUGUCAACAUUUGACUGUCCGUCUUAUAUGAAAUUUUUUUAUAAUUAGUAUUUUCAUUGUUGUUAGAUGAUAAAACAUAAUUAAUACUUUAUGCGUGACUUAUCUUUUUAAUUUUUUUCAUAAUUUUUUUUCAAAUAAGACGAACGGUCAAACGUUAGACACGGAAACUAGGGAUUGUCUUUUUU
rfam:Oryza barthii chromosome 10, whole genome shotgun sequence.